AACCAUCUUUACGUUUUACUCUAUACAGUUAUAGAACAUUUAAAAAUAAAGGUCACAUUUUGGGGGUUUUGUUUAUCAAAGAGUUGCUUAUUUACACAACCAACAGUUACAGAGCAACAUUACUCUUUUAGCUCUGUUUUUGGUCUCUACCAACUCCUGAGGGAAAUAUCUGUUUCUUUAGCUGCUAAAUGCUCCACUGUCCCUAUUUGUUUGCAUAACAGUGAUCAAUUAUUGUGUUCAUUAAUAAUUGCCUAAUAGCUUCAUUUGUUUCAAAUAAUCAGUGUUUUGGUUAUAGACACGUAUAUAUUUUAUGCAGGCUCUUGUGCAUCCCAUCAGCAGGGUGUUCACACUUCCUUUUCAGAGGUGAAGUACAAUGCAAUACAUAAUCCACCUCUGUUAAAGGACCAGUGGGAUUCCGUGGCAUCUAUCGGUGAAGUAGCUGAUUACAACUCCCUUGCUUCACCCUCCUCUUUGAAGCAUGUAAAAAGGUGUUGUUCGUUCUGGGCUAUUGCAGAAAGAUGGAAGACUCCAUGGAAGGCAACCUGCUCCCUCUGUAGAUAAAAAUGGCUCAUUCAAGAUCCUCCUAAAUGUUACACACUGGACCUCCAACAGGCCUCCUUCUAUUAUUUUCAUGAUGAAUGCAUAUACAAUGAACAAAGAAAAUAUUUUACUUUGUCACCAAUCUGUAUCUGCAUGACCACUACAGGUAGGUAAGUAUGUAUUUUCCACUUUUUUGGGUAAACCUCCCCUUCAAAAAUAUACUAGUGUUUGUAUUUAUAAAAACAAUCACAACAAACCACGUUCACAAACACCUUGGACAUCCAGAACAAUACAGCUCCCACUGGUUGUAUUUGUGACACUACCCUCCCAGUAUGCUUGAACUUGUUUUGCGUCCCAACAAAUUACAGGUUUGAAGUGUUUCUCCAGAGUUUUAUUCUUCUCAACUGAACACACUCUGAAACAACAUUUGGAUCGUUAGGUGACACACACCAAUACAAAAUAAACAGCUCUAAUACAUUCAUUUUAAACGGAGGAAAUUAUUAAUCAUUUAUAGAAAAAUGUCUUGUUAUUAAAGAAGCAUGAUAUGAUGCAUUGGUCUGGGAGGAACCACCAUCAUAAGACCGGUUCAGUAUCUAUAAACCUCAAGUGUUGUUUGCCAUCAGUGACACUUGGUAGUAAGCGUUUCUUCUUUGUAAAACCAGUAAGUGUUUCAGAUUUCCAUACUGUAGGCUGUUUCCAUGUUCCCUUUCUCAGUAAUAGUCUGAGAUGCAGCCACAACAUCACCUCCUCCUCAUUUUCUCUCCUCCUCCUCACAUCUCCCAACCAGCUGGCAGACAUCUUCAUAGGCUACUACACCGCCCGCUGGCUGUCUGCUCAUCUCUCUCCUCGUCCUCACGCUCCGUCUUCUGAUAGAUAGAUAGAUAGAUAGAUAGAUAGAUAGAUAGAUAGAUAGAUAGAUAGAUAGAUAGACAGAUAGACAGACAGAUAGACAGAUAGACAGAUAGAUAGACAGAUAGACAGAUAGAUACAUGAUGGUAGUGUUAUUGUUAAUAACAGUAUAUAAUGAUAAUAUUAAUAAUAUUUAUAAUAAUAUAAUUAUAAUAUGUAUAUAGAAUAUGAUGACUGAACAGAUAUACGUGUAUAAACAUAGAUAUUCUACAUUAAUAUUGAUAUGAUGUAAACGUGUCAUAUAUUCAUAUAUAUAUAUAUUUAUAUUCUGUGUCUCUGAAGACAUCACUCCUUUUUCUGAUAUCUUUCUUUACCUCCUCACUUCUCCUCUUCUCCUCCUCGCUCUGUAGGCCAUUUGACAGAGAUGUGGUAAGACUUCAGCUCCUCCUCAGAUACAAAGUCAGGGGCGCAGCUCAUGAGGUCUUGACCCCGGAAUGACUUGGGAAAGGCAAUGACAUCACGGAUGCUGGGAGCCCCGACAAUGAUGGAGACCAGCCGGUCAAACCCUAGCAAAGCAUAAGUUUAGAGUAAUUAGACAACCUAAUACAUUUAUAACCAUUUUCACGUUUUAGCUCAUGAAUUGUGCAUUUUAGUAGCACUAUUGCACAUUACAUGAAUCAUUUAUUGUAUGCAUACAAUAAAUAUUUGAUCAAUACACCACUGACACUUUAACCCUGAUGUCAAAUUCCAGUUUUUCAUAUCUAAGUUGCAUGCCACAUGUCAGCCUGCCUCUUAAGCUAGCAAGCACAAUAAUAAUACAUAAUAUACACGUUUUACUGGUUGUAUCUAUGUAUCUGUAUUUUGUGUUUUUAUUCUUAUAUAUUAAUACUUUAAUUUACAGUAAAGUUUACUGUUAAAAACCUUAAAUCUAUCGUAAUUGUCAUGUUUUGCUCAACUGUAAAAUCAGUACAUAAACACUUUAAUAACUUGUAGCUUUUAGAUUUUUUUAACUGUAAGCUGUAGCAGGAGUAUCUGAACAUGAGGAUAUCAUAUGUGUACAAGGUGUUAAGAAUAAUAAAAAUAAAAAAAAACAGUUAAGCCA